ensembl:lncRNA
UCCCCAUGCCCCUCUCGUUAUAAAGCUGUGUUUCCGCGCUGUGAGUCCCUCCACACAGAACAGCCCAGAGGCGGCAGAGAGACGCACCAACACAUCUCACAUGAGAGAGCGCGCAUCUGUUCUGUCCGCGUGGCUACAUACAGCAGGUGACUGGCUGAGCAUUUACAGAUAAACAUAAGGUUACGUUGUGAAGAAAUGUGGCUGCAAAAAAAAGAGGAAGGAUCUGAGGAUAGUUAUGUCAAUGCUGAAGGAGGACAAGGCCUCAAAGGGAUUAACAAAAGUGUAAAUAUGAGGCGCGGUAUGAACAUCUCCCCUCCCCUCAACAACGCUCGAAGAAAGAUGGCUGUGACAACUCCAACUGUUUUUCCUCCUGUCUCCUUUUUCUUUCUUCUGUUAAACAGGCUCAAAUGUUAUGGUUCCAAAGAACAUCUGGAGGGCGGCCAUGCAACCAGGCCAACAGUUCCACUGAUGGCAAGAGCGCUGUUGGGUGCUUUUGAUGUUGACAUGUUGCUGAAAAGCAACCUGCGAGUUGUUGCUUUCCCCCUACAAAUGCUGUCAUUAAGCGCUUCCCGGGUGCAACAAAAGGACAAGUGGGAACGGCUUACAACUGUAAAAUGCCUGAAUUAAGAAGCAAUGAGAGAAACAAAUAAAAUGAAUAGGA